UCGAAAAAUGCUGCGAGUCGCUACAGAAUAAAACGUGUCUUCAGAUAUCUUCCCUCGUUUCAUUCGCGUCCAUUCGACUUUUGAUGUUUUAUUCUAUACUCUAAAAAUCUAAUUUUCCAUUUUUCAAUAAUUUUUAAUUUUGUAAAAAAAAUCGUGGACUCUUUCUACGAAGAUAACAAAAAGAAAGUAAUUUAUUAUUUAUCUGCAGCAAGAACGUAAGUUUUUAGUUUCAUGGUAAAAGACCCAUUACCUGCUCACUUUUAAUUCGAGGGAGAUUAAACCAAAAUAAAAUGUCAUAUUCAUCAGUUAUGGACUCGAACAACCCGGAGGAACCAGUAAACCCAGAGGAACCAAUUGACUUGAGUUUGAGAAAAUCAAUCGAUUCUGACGAUCCUGACAACUCGGGGGAACCAAUGGUAUUAUGCCGACUAGUCGAUUCGGACGAAUCAAUCGGCACGGAAGAAUUAAUGAAUCAAUCAAUGGAUUCAGACGAACCACUCGACAUAGAGGAACUGAUUUCACGGUUCAAAAUUAUUUCUAGAAAAAGUCUUACAAAGAAGAUUCGUCUCACAACAUCCUCUCUUGCAGAACGCUCUCCAAAGUAUGUUGAGUGGAAAAUUCGUGGUUUACAAAGUUACAGAGAAAAUUUUCACUAUUCUUCUCUUCAUUGGGCCACAAAUGAUUAUGUACAUGCAAUUUUGCCAAAUACUGUGGCGUAUUGGUGGUUCAAUAUCGUGAUAUUAAUAGAGGAAUAUUAUCGAGAGCUCGUCACUACUGUUAUAUUUCUUGCUGAUAACAUCGGACCCCAGAAGAUGAUUGAAGUGAUUCUAAUAAAUCUGAUUGAUAUUGAUGGUUUUUUCACUUCUGGAGAUCAAGUAAACUUAGUAAAGAGACAAUGCCAUAAGAUGGCGAUGCAGACUAUUGGAAGAAUGAUGUCGAUGAGAGAAUUCAAUCCUACUGAUGUGUGUCCAUAUGUGAAGAUAAUAUUGAAUGAUCUCAUUCGUCAAUACAAAGAGACAACUCUCCUAGAUCCUGUGAUGCUGAAUGGCAUCAAUAGCAUCGUUAACAAGUUGAAUUUACGCGUAUAAUCAAGGACUAACCACAGAUCACUGAGAUUUUAUUAAUUAAAAUGAAGAACAAGGCUGUACGAGAGCAUUGUUGAUUAUCCUCAGCAUCCAGAACAAUUAGAAAUUAUGCCCAAUGUUACCGAUGCAUUGUCAGUUAUUUUUAAGGCUUAUAAACUCGGUAAUGUUGAAGGUUCGGUCAAGGACUUUGGAAAACUCAUUGAAGAAGAAAUUUCUAUUGAAAAUAUUGGCAGAUUAUUGAAACCACGUGACGAUGCUCUAGCUCAAUUGGCAUCUAUAUAAUUUAUUCUAAUUAAAUAAUAUGUAAUUCCGGAUUUAUAAAUGAAAUCUUUUUGACCAUACUUGCACCUAAAGUUAAGAUUUCUGCUCUGUUCAGAUUCUGAAUAAUGUUUUUUAUUCUUUUUUUUUUUUAAAGAAAACCGAUGAUAAUAAUUAGCGCAUGUGUCAUUGUUUAGGCAAACAGAGAUGGAAAUUAAUAUUUUUAGGUGCAGAUCUGGUGAAAAAUCGAAUACACGACCCUGUGUAAAAAAAAUUGUUGAAAAAAAAAUUGAAAAAGGUUUACUAUUCUAAGCUUUAAAAAAAGAUACGAUGACAUAUUGUUUUUAAACGAUUUUCAAACUUUGAAAAAUACAAAGACAACAAUAAUCAGACUUAAUGCUAUAAAUUAACAUUUUUAGACUCUUUUGUAAACUUUUUUUGACUCCGUUAUGAGUUUUAGGUUUCAUAAUUUUUUUUUAGUGCAAAUACGUUUAGAAAUAAAUUGACGUUGAACUAUUUUUGAACGUUUUUUUUAGCGUAUCUUAAUAGUAUUAGAAAAUUUUUAUUGGUUUUCUUCUUGAAUUUUUAAGAGUUUAAAAAAAGUUUGUCGGUGUGACAUUUUAAAGCUUAGAAUAGUCAAGGCUUGUUCAACAAUUUUUUUACAAGGGCCACGAAGAAGGGUAGAACAUCUCAAUCCGCGUCUUUUCACUCAUCUUCGAGUCGGGUAGAGAAUUACAGACGAGCGUUAGAAUGUCCUACUUUUCUUUUUUGACGUGUAAUACAAACACUUAAAAAACAUAUUCCGUCAUCAAAUAAUUAUUUAUUAUAAAUUUUUUAUUAAUUGGGACUACUAAUUAAUUAAUCAGUUAAUUAAUUCUAGAGUUAAAACGAUUUUAUAAACAAUCGGGCAGUUUACAUCCCGUACUAAAAUUUCAAUUACGUAUUGUUAUUAGAUUUCAAUUAUGUAUUGGUAUAGACAUAAAUUACAGUAACUUUAUUAUAAUUGUGUUGCAUUUAAGUCUCUAAAAAUAACUUUCUCCUCGAGGGUAGUAAAUUUGAAAAAACAAUUAUAAAAACUGUAUCUUAAUAACGUUAUUAAUUUAAAAAAUAAUUUCCAUGCGACCUAGGAUUUAAAAAAAAAAAACUAUUCUAGUCAUCAUAAAUUUAUAAUGUAAAAAAUUUUCUUAAGACAAGUCAAAAUUUUUUGCGCCAAUGAUCUUUUUUAUAUGUGUAAAAUAUAUUGAACAAAAAGUAUCACAUAUUACAUUUGUUAAUUGCAAACCAAUCUGAUUAGUUUGUGAAAUCUAAUUAUAACUAUAUAAAAAAUUUUAAAAAUUUUAUGUAAUUUAUUAUUCAAUACUUUGAUAACAUUCGGACAAUUUCAUUGCAAUUUCAAUAUUUAUAAAUAAAUUCAAUUUCAUUUACGACGAAAAAGAAAAAAAAAAUUCUUUCACGUGAGCUAAUACUACUACUGCUUAGAUGUUUAUUGUUUUUGUUAUUAGCAUUAUUUAAAUAGGAUGAUUAUUUUAUCAAAGAUAAGAUUGUAAAUAGUAUGUAAUAUAUACAGCUGUAUAAAGAAUGUAAACAAUAAUACAA